CCUACGGGGGGCAGCAGUAGGGAAUAUUGCUCAAUGGGGGAAACCCUGAAGCAGCAACGCCGCGUGGAGGAUGAAGGUUUUCGGAUUGUAAACUCCUUUUGUUAGAGAAGAUAAUGACGGUAUCUAACGAAUAAGCACCGGCUAACUCCGUGCCAGCAGCCGCGGUAAUACGGAGGGUGCAAGCGUUACUCGGAAUCACUGGGCGUAAAGAGCGCGUAGGCGGGAUAGCAAGUCAGAUGUUAAAUUCUAUGGCUUAAACAUAGAAAUGGCUUUGAAACUGUUAUUCUAGCGUAUGGGAGGGGGAGGGUGAAAUUCUGGGUGUGGGGGAAAAUUC
rnacentral:rRNA from 1 species